GGCAGUGUAGCUCAGUGGUUAAGGAACUGGGCUUGUAACCGGAAGGUCACGGGUUCGAUUCCUGGGUAGGACA
rnacentral:tRNA from 1 species